rnacentral:lncRNA from 1 species
GCUUUGACAUAAUAUAGUAUAAUGUUACUCCACUGCUUAUUUGACUGGGUUGCUUAUGAUGGGCAAGUAAAGUAAGUCACUGGGUUAUAAUUACUGUACCUGGAUACAGUACAAUACAUAUUCAUAAUAGGACAAGGAAAAUAUUGCAACAAGGCAAGAUUAAAAACAUAUUUCUGUUUCAGUCUGUACAUGGAUACUGAAGUGUUGCAAGUGGCCCAUGAGAUUUACUCUCAAAUUUACCAGCACGUCGACAAAGAAACAUAGAGACAAAUAAAAGAUGAUUUAAAGAAAAAUUAAAUAAAAUCAAAGGGUCCAACAUAUCUGUUCCACCACAGCACUCUGGCCAUCACGGAAGCUUCUCUGACAGUGAUGAGGUCUUUGAGAUGAUUGUGGCAAUUCAACUGACAAGUAUUGCGAUUGAAGUAACUGCUGUACUCUACCUGGUACAGCUCUACCACAAGCAGAGCUAAGAGGAGACCUAGUGCAGAGACGCCCAUCAGUGGAGUCCUCAGCUUCAGACCCAGUACUGCUUCAGACCUGUGUCGCUGAGCAGCAGGGUCCCCAGGGUGGAUCUUAGCCCCAGACCUGGACCCUGCAGGGGUCUGUCGCCCAGCCCAGACCACUGCCCCCUCAUCCUCAGCACCACAAGGGAAUCAGCUGGCUUUCACAGUAAACCCAGUGGCACCAGUCGCUCCACAAUCACAAUCAGUGCAACCAGCACAGGUAACACAGUCUGACCAACAGCAACAGCAGCAGCAGCAGCAACAGCAGCAACAGCAAUAGCAGAUGGCAGGUAGAAUGGGUCUCAUUGGGGAAGUACUUGCCCGGUUUAGGGAGAAGCAUGCUCACAGCCAGUCAGCCCAUCAGCACUGUGGCCUGAAAUCCAGAGCUUCCCUCCUUCAGUCUGCCCUCGCCUGGCCUCCUACCCACCAUGGGGUUCUCUCCUGGGGGUCUCCCCAGCAGACAGGCCAUCUAUCCUGGGUUGGUGGCCAACGUAGGUCUGCCUAUCCCUGGAGCCUUGCAUGAUACCACGGACCCUGCCUUUGGUCUGGACACAGCCACUCCCCCACCACUGGUCUAGCACGGUCACCAAUCAAAUUACCACGCUGACACACACCUGGAGACUGUGUCCACUACCCUGAGUGUUGCCAUGGAGACCAACACGGACAUCAAGCCUUGAGAAAAAUACCCACCACCCCUCAGAUAGAGAUUGUGUUAAGAUACAAAUUGAAGUUGCAUUGAGAGUGUUAAUAUCUGAAAGGUUUUGUGUUAAUGGGUAAUAAUGAAACAUGUAGUCUUCGAGUAGUACUGGCGAGUAGGAGUUGUAUUUAUAUGUGUUGCAUUUGUUCAAUAAUAUUUCAGUGUUUUACUAUGUAUUUAGCAUUAACAGGGUUGCAAGUUAAUUCUUGACCGUGUUGUGAGUUUCGGUGUAUAAAGUCCUACAAGAAAUGCUAAUAAAACCCCAGACCA